rnacentral:misc_RNA from 1 species
GAUGAAGAACGUAGUGAAAUGCGAUAAGUAAUGUGAAUUGCAGAAUUCUGUGAAUCAUCGAAUCUUUGAACGCAUCUUGCGCUCCUUGGUAUUCUGAGGAGCAUGCCUGUUUGAGUGUCAUUAAAUUCUCAACUACACUGACUUUGAAUUGGUGUGGCUUGGAUUUGGGGGGAAAAUUGUUGUGGGCUUUUUGUAUAGUCUGCUCCCCUGAAAUUGAUUAGCGGUACCUUUGUGGAACUGUCUACAGGUGUGAUAAUUAUCUACAUCUUAGACAUCUGCUGGAAUGCUGCUUUCUAAACCUUACUUGUAUUGACAAUCUUGACCUCAAAUCAGGUAGGACUACCCGCUGAACUUAAGCAUAUCAAUAAGCGGAGGA